UACGGAGGGUGCGAGCGUUGUCCGGAAUCACUGGGCGUAAAGGGCGCGUAGGUGGCGACCCAAGUCCGUGGUGAAAGCUCGUCGCUUAACGACGAGUCGGCCACGGAGACUGGGUGGCUCGAGCACUGUAGGGGCAGAUGGAAUUCCGGGUGUAGCGGUGGAAUGCGUAGAGAUCCGGAAGAACACCAGUGGCGAAGGCGGUCUGCUGGGCAGUUGCUGACGCUGAGGCGCGACAGCGUGGGGAGCAAACGGG
rnacentral:rRNA from 1 species